CGGGAAAAGCUCAAAUUUAAAAUCUGGCGGUCCCUGUGGCCGUCCGAGUUGUAAGUUAGAGAAGUGUUAUCCGCGCUGGACCGUGUACAAGUCCCUUGGAACAGAAUGUCAAAGAGGGUGAGAAUCCCGUCU
rnacentral:rRNA from 1 species